UACGUAGGCAGCGAGCGUUGUUCGGAGUUAUUGGGCGUAAAGGGCGCGUAGGCGGUGCGGUAAGUCUGUAGUGAAAUCUCUGGGCUCAACUCAGAGUCUGCUGCAGAAACUGCCGUGCUUGAGUGUGGGAGAGGUGAGUGGAAUUCCCGGUGUAGCGGUGAAAUGCGUAGAUAUCUGGAGGAACACCGGUGGCGAAGGCGGCGUCCUGGACCAACACUGACACUGAUGAGCGAAAGCCAGGGGAGCAAACGGG
rnacentral:rRNA from 1 species